GACAAACGCUGGCGGCGUGCUUAACACAUGCAAGUCGAACGAUGAAGAAGAGCUUGCUCUUCGGAUUAGUGGCGAACGGGUGAGUAACACGUGACUAACCUGCCCCUUUCUCUGGGAUAACGCUCCGAAAGGAGUGCCAAUACCGGAUACUCACAUCGAGGCACAUGCCUUGAUGUGGAAAGUUUUUCGGAAAGGGAUGGAGUCGCGGCCUAUCAGCUUGUUGGUGAGGGAACGGCUCACCAAGGCGACGACGGGUAGCCGGCCUGAGAGGGGGAACGGCCACACGGGGACUGAGACACGGCCCAGACUCCUACGGGAGGCAGCAGUGGGGAAUAUUGCACAAUGGGCGAAAGCCUGAUGCAGCGACGCCGCGUGAGGGAUGAAGGUCUUCGGAUUGUAAACCUCUUUCAGUAGGGACGAAGCGAAAGUGACGGUACCUAAAGAAGAAGCACCGGCUAACUACGUGCCAGCCGCCGCCGUAA
rnacentral:rRNA from 1 species